rnacentral:rRNA from 3 species
UGACCUCUGACCUCAAAUCAGGUAGGACUACCCGCUGAACUUAAGCAUA